rnacentral:rRNA from 1 species
UACCAGCACCCCGAGUGGUCGGGACGGUUAUUGGGCCUAAAGCAUCCGUAGCCGGUCAUGCAAGUCUUCCGUUAAAUCCAGCCGCUCAACGGUUGGGCUGCGGAGGAUACUACGUGGCUAGGAGGCGGGAGAGGCAAGCGGUACUCAGUGGGUAGGGGUAAAAUCCUUUGAUCCAUUGAAGACCACCAGUGGCGAAGGCGGCUUGCCAGAACGCGCUCGACGGUGAGGGAUGAAAGCUGGGGGAGCAAACCGG